GCGCGGCGUACGGCUCAGUAACACGUAGCCAACUUACCCUCAGGACAGGGAUAACCCCGGGAAACUGGGGCUAAUACCCGAUAGGGGAGGAGGCCUGGAAUGGUUCCUCACCUAAAGGAUGUUGGAAUCAUGCUUCCAACGUUGCUUGAGGAUAGGGCUGCGGCCGAUCAGGUAGUUGGUGAGGUAACGGCUCACCAAGCCUAUAACCGGUACGGGCCGUGAGAGCGGUAGCCCGGAGAUGGGUACUGAGACAAGGGCCCAGGCCCUACGGGGCGCAGCAGGCGCGAAAACUCCGCAAUGCGCGAAAGCGUGACGGGGCUAUCCCGAGUGCCGUCUGCUGAGGAUGGCUUUUCUCCGGUGUAGUGAGCCGGAGGAAUAAGGGGAGGGCAAGUCUGGUGUCAGCCGCCGCGGUAAUACCAGCUCCCUGAGUGGUGGGGACAAUUAUUGCGCCUAAAGCGUCCGUAGCCUGCCCUUCAAGUCUCUCGUUAAAUCCAGCGAUCUAAUCGCUGGACUGCGGGAGAUACUGUUGGGCUAGGGGGCGGGAGAAGCCGACGGUAUUCUCGGGGUAGGGGUGAAAUCCUAUAAUCCCGGGAGGACCACCAGUGGUGAAGGCGGUCGGAAAGAACGCGCCCGACGGUGAGGGACGAAAGCUGGGGGAGCGAACCGGAUUAGAUACCCGGGUAGUCCCAGCUGUAAACGAUGCGGGCUAGGUGUUGGGGGGGCUACGUGCCUCUCCAGUGCCGCAGGGAAGCUAUUAAGCCCGCCGCCUGGGGAGUACGGCCGCAAGGCUGAAACUUAAAGGAAUUGGCGGGGGAGCACCACAAGGGGUGAAGCUUGCGGUUUAAUUGGAGUCAACGCCGGGAACCUUACCGGGGGCGACAGCAGGAUGAAAGCCAGGUUGAUGACCUUGCUGGACGAGCUGAGAGGGGGUGCAUGGCCGUCGCCAGUUCGUGCCGUGAGGUGUCCUGUUAAGUCAGGUAACGAUCGAGACCCACACCCCCUGUUGCCAGCGGGUCCCGUUGGGAUGCCGGGCA
rnacentral:rRNA from 1 species